GUCUUGUAAAUGGAAUGAUGGUGACCUAAACCCUCACCAGAGUAACAAUUGGAGGGCAAGUCUGGUGCCAGCAGCCGCGGUAAUUCCAGCUCCAAUAGCGUAUAUUAAACUUGUUGCAGUUAAAAAGCUCGUAGUUGAAUUUUUGCGUGGUGUUAAUAUUGACUAAUGUCGAGAUUGCACUUCGCUUUUGGGAUUUAUCCCUUUUUACUUUGAGAAAAUUAGAGUGUUUCAAGCAGACUUUUGUCUUGAAUACUUCAGCAUGGAAUAAUAGAGUAGGACUUUGGUUCUAUUUUGUUGGUUUGUGAACCUUAGUAAUGGUUAAUAGGAACGGUUGGGGGCAUUCGUAUUUAACUGUCAGAGGUGAAAUUCUUAGAUUUGUUAAAGACGAACUACUGCGAAAGCAUUUGCCAAGGACGUUUUCAUAAUCAAGAACGAAAGUUAGGGG
rnacentral:rRNA from 1 species